GCGUUCAGGUAAUUGCUAUAUCACUUGAUGAUAUAGAGGAAAGUCCAUGCUCGCACGACCUGAGAUGGUCGUAGUGUUCGUGCCUAGCGAAUUCAUAAGCUAGGGUAGUCUGGUUUUGACUGGGCUAACGGCGAGGUAAGCACCUACGUCCUUUGGGAUAUGGUGUGAUGCUUCUGAAAGUGCCACAGUGACGUAGUCCGCUUGGAAACAAGUGGAGUGGAACGGGUAAACCCCUCGAGCGAGAAACCCAAACUAUGGUAGGGGCACCCUCUUGAAGGAAUUCAACCGAGAGAGGGACAGGUGACUCGUCACCUGUAGAUAGAUGAUUACCCCCUGAGUACGAGGCUCAUCACCGCUUGCAGUACAACGGGACAAAACAUGGCUUAUCGAA
rnacentral:RNase_P_RNA from 1 species